CGCAGUAAGAUUGCAUGUGAAUGGUGUGUGUCAAUGCGAUCACGAUGUAAGAAGUCAAAGCUGUUCUGUGGUCUCCGACACGCGUUUGGGAGCAGUCAGAAGCGCUUAGCACUACGGUCCCAGAGCUGUUCAUUUACAACAAGCAACACUUAAAGUGCUGGACCAUGCAACAGUUGGCACUCAGCAUCUUGAGAUUUUUUGUGCACAAAUAGGACGGCCUAAAGAGAGCCCUGGUGUGGAUACAGAAUCCUAUAGGAGAAACCAACAACAAAGCAUCAAUUGUCCAUUUCUGGUCUUAUUACUGUGAAGUCUGAAACUAGCUGGCACACAUUGGUUCUGACAGAAAUGGGUGUCGGCAAGAACACAACUUCAAAAUCCGUGGAAUCUGGUGCAGGAGCCGAAGGCAAAUAUGAAGAAGAAUCCAAGCACUCCUCUUUUUACCCCAUACCAGUAGUGGUAAAUGGAGUAGCCCAGGCCAAUGGAGAGCAGGACACAGAAGACACGGAGCUAAUGGCUAUCUACUCCAAAGAGAAUGGCACAGCAGAUAAGAGCUCCCUCUCAGAGACAAUGGACAGUACUAACAGCAUGGAUGCACAGCGAAUGGAUAUGAUUUAUACCAUUGAAGAUGUCCCGCCAUGGUACCUCUGUAUCUUUCUUGGUCUACAGCACUACUUGACUUGUUUCAGUGGUACCAUUGCUGUGCCCUUUUUACUUGUUGAAGCCAUGUGUGUUGGAUAUGACCAGUGGGCCACUAGUCAGCUCAUUGGCACCAUCUUUUUUUGUGUGGGAAUCACCACUUUGCUGCAGACUAUAUUUGGCUGUAGGCUUCCUCUAUUCCAGGCCAGUGCCUUUGCUUUUCUUGCCCCUGCUCGGGCCAUUCUGGCUCUGGACAAGUGGAAGUGCAACACUACAGAUGUGCCUGUUCUGAACGGUACUGAGCUGCUGCACACUGAACAUAUUUGGUACCCCCGGAUUCGAGAGAUUCAGGGGGCCAUCAUCAUCUCUUCCAUGAUUGAAGUAUUCAUUGGGAUUCUGGGGCUCCCUGGUGUUCUCCUUAAGUACAUUGGUCCUCUCACAAUCACCCCAACAGUCUCUUUGAUUGGUCUGUCUGGGUUCCAGGCUGCAGGCGAACGUGCUGGCAAGCACUGGGGCAUUGCCAUGUUGACAAUUUUCUUGGUGCUGCUCUUCUCGCAGUAUGCUCGCAAUGUUCACCUACCCCUUCCAAUUUACAAGUCUAAAAAAGGAUGGACGGCUUAUCGUCUUCAGUUCUUUAAAAUGUUUCCUAUUAUCAUGGCCAUACUGAUGUCUUGGUUGUUGUGCUUCAUCUUUACUGUGACGGAUGUCUUCCCCCCAGAGAAGGACAAGUAUGGUUACUAUGCACGGACAGAUGCUCGUCAGGGCAUCUUAACAGUUGCACCUUGGUUUAAAGUGCCCUACCCGUUCCAGUGGGGCCUCCCAACAGUGUCAGCAGCGGGAGUUAUUGGCAUGUUCAGUGCAGUGGUUGCCAGUAUCAUUGAGUCAAUCGGAGAUUACUAUGCCUGUGCCCGACUUUCGUGUGCCCCACCUCCUCCAAUCCAUGCCAUCAACAGGGGAAUUUUUAUAGAAGGUCUUUCAUGUGUAGUAGAUGGCAUCUUUGGCACUGGAAAUGGUUCCACUUCCUCGAGCCCUAACAUUGGGGUACUUGGUAUUACAAAGGUGGGCAGCAGGCGAGUUAUUCAAUAUGGGGCUGUCUUCAUGCUUCUGCUUGGCACCAUUGGAAAGUUCAGUGCUCUGUUUGCAUCUCUGCCAGACCCUGUGCUUGGUGCCCUGUUCUGCACCCUAUUUGGAAUGAUUACAGCAGUUGGCCUGUCCAACCUCCAGUUUGUUGAUCUCAAUUCAUCUCGGAACCUUUUUGUUCUGGGCUUUUCAAUCUUCUUUGGACUGGUUCUGCCAAGCUAUCUGAAACAAAACCCGCUUGUGACAGGCAUUGCAGAGAUCGAUCAAGUCUUGAAUGUGCUGCUUACAACAGCCAUGUUUGUCGGUGGCUCAGUGGCUUUCAUUUUGGACAACACUAUUCCUGGCACACUAGAGGAGCGUGGAAUUCGGAAGUGGAAGCGGGGUGUUGGAAAAGGGAGUUCUGAUGUCCAAGGAAUGGAGUCCUAUGACCUACCCUUUGGAAUGACCUUUCUUCAGAAACACAAGAUAUUCCAGUAUUUACCCAUCAGUCCCACAUUCUCAGGGUACAACUGGCAGCCCUGUAGAAAAAGGGGUCAUCCUCAAAGAAGGAGUUCAGAGAGUACCAUUGGAAAAUCAGGGGUAUAGCCAAAGGGGGAAUAGUCUGACAGAUAUGUUAGAUGGGUAUUGUAAACAGUUCUAAAAGCAUCUUCCUUUUAUAUUAGUAAGCAGAAGGUCACUUUUGUUUUUGUUUAGUGAGAAUAUUUGCUGCCAAAGAGAGAAAAAAAAAAUAGAACUAACCUAAUGGUAAGAGUUGAGACAAUCUAAUUACCAAGGGUUGAUUUUUGAUGAAACACUUGUUGGAUAUUUGACUUGUUGUAAUACUUGCACAGGAGCCUGGCAACAUUUUGUUUUCCAUGAAGUCAGCAUUUUAGUUUUUAUUUAUCUAAUGUAAAACAGAGUGUUAAUUGUAAUUCUGACUAUCAGUGCCACAGUUUAAUCAAAAGUGGCUGUGCAGCAAGCAUGGCUUUGUAGCUGAGGACACUGUGUUACACAGUAGAGAUGAAUCUUGCGUAAUGUUAUAAAAUAAUAAUAAUGAUAAAAUGUUUACCUAAGUACAGGGGCUUGCUGCCUAGCCGACAGAAUCAAAUGGGCUGACCAGUGGAAGCCUAAUGCCCUGGAUCUAUUACAAUUUCUUAGAUGGACAUUAUUUGCUGAGCCCUGGGCAUUAUUUUGCCUCUAUUUUAUGAGGAAACCUGAGGAAGUGUGAUGCUUUUAAAACUGUUACAAAUGGUUAUAGGGGUGACAAUGCUUAUCUGUCACUGUUUCAUUUUGUCAGUUUUUUGUACAAUCUGAAGACCUUUUGUAUUUGGUCCAUUGUCACCUUGGCCUUGAUUUAUGCAUUAAUUUAAUGGAAAGAAAGUGUGCACCUUACUGGAGGCAUUUUGUGCCCAUUAACUCUACUGGGUACAAAAUGCAGAAAAAAAAGUUCAACAAGCAUGUUUGCCUUUAUUUUUAAAGGCUAAUGUGAAACACUGCACAAGAGAAUGCAAGUUGGCAAAAUUUCUCAGUUCUUGGGACCUCACUGCUAAAACAUUCUCUGUUUUAACAGCUUUGUUAACUGUCAAUUCAGAGAUUUAUUUUUUAUUGUUGAUUUUUUUUUUUUUUAAUAUGACUUUUGCACACGCAUCUAUAUUUAUUCUUGAUUAGACUGAAAAUCAGCCACCCAUUUUCAGAAUUACUUGCAAGACCACCUUUUUGUGUUGCUCCACAGACAGAUAGAGAAACUGUUGUAAGACAUGGGCCAAUUCAUUUUUUUGACCUAAUGAAGCAUAUACUGUAUACUGUCAGAUACAUUAGCCAUCUAUAAACUCACACAUCUACACCUCCAUAUGUUUCAAUAUAGACAUGGUUUAUUGAUAGACUUAGACAAAUUAUUAGUAUCUGAUAAUUGCAUAUUGCUGGACCUUGUUUAGUAAUUUAUUAAAACAGCUAAUUCCAUAUUAGUGAUAACAAAAUGAAGAGUCAUUUUGGCAUUUGUUACAAGCAGUACCUUCAAAUAGGGGACAUGAAUAAAAGCUGUGUGGUUUUCAGGCUAGCAAAAUGCAGAGGGCUUCUUUUGAGUACCAAAGUCGGUGUGUCUAUAAAAUUGAAUAGAAUUUUAGAGAAGCUGAAAACAGUGUCUGUAAUACUACACGCAGUGAAAGGGUCUGUUUUUGGGGACAUUUGUCAUUGUCAUGUUUAUAAGGUUACAACAUCUGUUGCAACUUCUCCUACUUUUACACUUGUCCAGACAUACAAAUGUAAAUCUAAACCUUCCAUUCAUCCAUUAUAAGAACCUACUUAUUCCAUUAUGUCACUGACAUGUAAUCCACACAACUGAAAAGUCUGAAAUAUACCAUCCAUCCAUCCAUCCAUCCAUUUUCCAGCCAAACAUACCAUGACAUUUGGACUUCUGGUAGACUUAACCUAGACACAUAACUAUAUCCCCAUUAUAGAUGUGUAUGUUUUAAGCAUUAAUUUGUACACCUACUUAAAGUCAAAGGAAAUUUUGGAUGAAUAACAAACAUUUACACUUUCAUGUUAAAAAAACUGCUUCUCCGAAUGCUCUGCAUGUAUCUGCACAGAUGGAUAUGAGGUCAGUUUGCAAAAUUUGUCUUGUGUAGGUAGGUUAUGUUGGUGUUUCUCAGUAUGUUUUUAACAGUUUGUCACUGAGUUGCCUUUUCCUUGUUCGUUUUUGCACAUCUACACAUAAACAUACGCACAUCUGUACAUUUCAAGUGGCUGUUCAGUAACGUGUUGAUUGCUGCCUAUCCCCUGGCCUUUAUCAAACAGGUUUCUCCAUCUUGCUGACAGGUCAUUGGGUCAUUACAUACACGUGCAUUUUUCAGUUUUAUCUUCUUUAUAUGCAACCUAGCUUUAACUCUGGCUGUGAUGUAUUAAGUGUUCAUUUUUGCCAAGUAAUAUAACAAGAGACAGAUACAGACAUAUAUACAAGUAACCUUUGAUGUCAAAGGUGAAAAUUAGACAUUGCAGCAAUAAUUGUUUUCGAAAGAAAGAAAAGGAAAAAAAAGUAAUAAUCCUGGACCAUUCUUUGAUAUAAGUAUCUUAAAAUACAAGGUUUGGAUCUUGAUGAUAAAACAGCUUUACAUCAAAGCUUGCGGCUAGGGUCUUUAUGGGCUCCAGUUGUUCUUGUGCUGGCUAAGAGCUUGCUUGCACACAGAGCCCUGCUGCCAGGCCAGACGUAUAGUGCAUUUAUAUACGCAUACCCAGGGUUCAAUUUGCAUUUUUACCCACUCACUUUGCAAUUGUGACGGUAUGGAAACACUGCCUUAUAUUAAUCCUGCGGAGCAGUGCUUUCUGGUGAGGAUUCAGAUGUUCUGUACUUUGUAUUUAUUCUUGUAGAUUUAGCUGAGGAAUAGUGGGACCAUGUCUGCCCAUAGUGUCUCCAGGCUUAAAAUGUUAAAGCUAUUUAUUUGUUUUACUGUAUUUAAUGCCGUUAAUUCUCUGGUAACAACUAGGCUGUGCUAAAUAUAACUAUUAGAGGGGUGGAGGUAUGUAUAUACUUGCUAUUUAUCUCUUUAUACAGAUGUAAUGUAUAAUAUUCAGUCACCCCUUGCUGUAUUGAAUAUUUGUUUUGGAUUUUUUUUUUUUUCUACUAUCAAAAAAUUUUUUUAAAGAUAUAAUGUAUGAAGAACAGGGAAGCAUUAUUGGUUUCUCUGACAAUCCAUGUAAAUGAUGUGUUUUGGAGAGGGAGAUUAACCAUAUUGGCUUAAAUUAAAUCUCUGUUAACUGGGUGGCAGUUAGCUGUUUGCCGACUCCUGCGACUCUCUUGCUAGGGAGCACAGCCGGACAGCGGGCGGCGUGAUUAUCCCCGUAAGAAACUCCAGAACUGAAUUUGUUAGCUGCUCUCUUUGACUGCCUUCCCAUUGGGUAGGGCAAUGAGAAGGGGAGGAGUCCACACUGGAGGCUCCCGAGGCAAUUGUGCUCGCUGUCUUGCUAGGAAGCGGGUUCUCCGACAGCAUGAGACUGUUGCUAUGGUAAUGCCGAGCACAGUAAUGUGCGUCUUUUCUCAGAAGCUUUUCUUUUGGGUAGAGGAGGAGGAAAAGGAGGAGAAAAAACAAGAAAGAAGAUUUCAUUUCAGGCCUUGGGCUGACCUAUUCUGUUUGUGAAACUUGGGGUGGGGGGUUAGCUGGAUAAGUCCAUUUAAAAAAAAGAAACUAAAAUGAAUGCAGAAAUUGAUUGUGUGGACUCCUUUAGUUUACAAAAUUCACUGAGUUGGUGCUAAAGACAGAAAGGUCACUGGCUCCUUCCUAUGUGAAAAGUAGCAUACUGUAUGCAUAUCUGAAAGGAGCAAAGGUUUCCUUAUUGUUUGGUAUGUUUACGCUGGUUGUUGUUGUUUUUUUUUUUUAAUCAAAACCUGGGUAACUAAACUACCUUGGCUGUAUAUGGGAAUGAGGUAAGGACUUCUAAAAUGAAACAUCAAAUUAUAAAUUUCAACAGUUGUUUCUGAUAGCAGCAAUAUCUGGAAGGGUCCACCACAGAUAGCGUGACUGGCAAAUGUGGUUAUAUACUGAAAUCAUUCAAACUGUACGUAGACCGUAUAGUAUGAAACCUUCUACAAGGAAAGUUCCCAAUUCCUGGAAUGCUUAGUGCAAGAGAGUGAAUUCAGCCACAAAACAAUGUCUUCAGUUUGAAAUAUGUCAAUGUACUGGGUUUUGUUUUUCCAGGACACUUUGGAAGUGUCCAAAUAAGUUUUCCGUACAGGUAGGUGGUGUUCACCCAUCAAGUGAACCUCAAGAUCUUACUAAAGCCUUACUGGGGUGUGUUUGUGGAAAGUGCUGUAAGAUAAGGAUGUCGGACAUAUUCCUUCCCAGUUAGAGACCUACUACUGCUAUAAAUGCAUCGGCUUUGGUAAACUCUGUAGGAUUACAAACCUUUUCAGUUAUUUUUAACUAAUAAAGUUAUCUUUUGACUCUUCAACUGAUUUAUUUAUUUUUUCUUCUAUGAGCUGUCAAUUAACAAUGUGACGCACAUAGCAAGAUCACCGAGAAUGACUUACUGAGUACUUACUAGUUGUCUUAUACUAGGCAUUCAUUGUAUAUGUCUACUAUAAGAAGAUCUGCCAGCCAGUUUGCCACAACUGGGUGACCUUUUGCCUCCUUAGAGGCAGAAUCUAUUCACACCACGUAGAGCCAGCACAGCUGUCUAGCUUUGCAAAUAGCACUGGGCUGUUGUUUUUCAGACUGUCUUUGAAUAGAAAGCAUAAUAAAUAAAUAAUAGGCUCUUUUGUGGGCUUUGACACCUAGUAAUGAGAACCCAAGGCUCUUGGUCACCUGGAAUGCUGGCAGCCCCAACCUAAACAGCAAGCAGUUUGCAUGCAAGACCUUGUGUUAAAUGCCUGAACGUCUCGCUUUAAUUCUCAUGCACCAGGAACAAUGAGCCAAACAACAGCUACAUUUUGUGACGUAUGUUCAGCCGGAUAAAUCAGCUGUUUCAAACCAUCAAGUGGAUGCUUUUCAGCUGUUGUACUAAGCAUUCAAACUCUUUCUCAUUCUUGAGGGUGCUUGGUUGUUAAUAAAAUUGAAAAGGUGCAAAUCAUGGCAUGAGGAAUAUUAUUCCUGGAUAAUUGGAAUGCUGCUAAUAUGUCAUAUCAUUUUUACUAACUUGAAAGGACACUACUUGCCCCGUUUUAUUUUUUUUUUCUUUAGCCUCCCCAUUCUACUUUCCUCCUCAAGACUUCUUAAAUGAUUCCAGGGGUUUUAACGCAAAAAUGCAGUAUUGACGCCAUUCUAUUUGACUUUUUUUUUUUUUUCUUUUAUUAUAAACUGAAAGCUUAAGUUUUGUGAUGACAGUAGUAUGUCCGGCUAUAAAACGCACCUUUUUUCCUUGUAUUACAGAAAAUUAAACAAGCUUGUGUUUUAGAAAUAAAGUAGUUCUAUAUUGUUCAAUGAAAAUGAUGAGCUGUUGUUCUUUUGUCAGAGUUUUUCAUAAUGUAUUUUUCUAACCAUGCCUUGUUUAUCACAUUUAAAUAAAAUGCAAAUGGAAAUAUAUUAAAUAUGUGCUAUUAACUUGGACCAGACAUUGUGCAUAAUAGUAUUGAAAAUGAUCUGUUUUAUUCCAUAUUCCUAAAAGCUGUCUAUUUAAUAAAACUUAAACAAUUCAGUUUGAAA